CCCUCACCAGAAAAGUACGAUGAUGCGCUAAAGGACCAUGACGUCAUCAUCAUGCCCACGCUGCCGUUCAAGGCCCUGAAAAUCCCCAAGGCGAAUAGUACAGUCGCUGAGAGAAUCAAAACAGCUAUAUCCAUGGUUCAAAACACAGCGCCGUUUGACGUCACAGGUCACCCCUCUCUGUCCAUCAGCGUGGGAAAGUCUGAGGGACUUCCGAUCGGGAUGCAGAUCACUGGGAACUGUUUGACGAUCUCACUGUUCUCCAAGUGGCUUCAUGUCUUCGAAAGUACUCGAGGAUCAGAAGUAAAAUGGGUGAGAACGAUGUUUCACAGAAUAUUACAGUACUUUUUAUGCAUAAACAUUAUUGAAAAGGUCAAUAUCUACACUGAGUAGCCAUCACGUUGUGUAGGUCAUUUUACUUAAUACCAAAUAUAGGUUGUAGUUAAGUACAUUGGUGUAAAUAAGCGUAACUUUUUUUGGACUUACCUGAAAUAUUGUAGAAUUAAUUCUUAGAAACUGGAGAACGAUAUUUCAUAGAAUAUGACAGUACUUGUACCCUGUUAAUGGACUUUUUACCCUGUUACUGUUAAUAAUGGACUUUUCUCUUUGUAUGGUGUUGUUUGGUGUCACAAGUAAUUUUUUAGAAAAGGUUUGUUAAAAUGUACAACAUCCUUUUGUGUGGUUAGAAAAUUUGAUAUCAAGGUAAAUCAUAAAAUAUGAGUUAGUUCAAUUUUAUCCGGGAAAGCCACAUAUACCGAAAGUAUUCCCAGACUUGGUAAUUAUCCAUCUGUGUUAUUUCUUCUUAGAAAAGACCAAAUGUCUGGUUUUAAGACUUUGUUUUUGUGUAGUUGAUCAUCUUCUCUGUACAGUUUUUAUAAGCCUUUGGCUGGCAUUAUUGCGAAACUGGCGUUAAGCCAUUAUCAUUAUCAUCCAUUCGUUCAUUUUUAAAAGCUUUUGAAAUAAUAAUGUCGACUUAGUUCAAUGUGAGAUCUGUUUUUGUGUAGGAUAGAAUGCUAAGACAUACUCAAGAAUAUUGUUUUGAUUCAAAAGACCUAUAAAAUUCGUUCUAAUGAAAUUUUCCAAA